AUGAACGCUGGCGGCGUGCCUAAUCCCUGCCAGUCGAGCGAACAGAUGAGGAGCUUGCUCCUCUGACGUUAGCGGCGGACGGGUGAGUAACACGUGGAUAACCUACCUAUAAGACUGGGAUAACUUCGGGAAACCGGAGCUAAUACCGGAUAAUAUAUUGAACCGCAUGGUUCAAUAGUGAAAGACGGUUUUGCUGUCACUUAUAGAUGGAUCCGCGCCGCAUUAGCUAGUUGGUAAGGUAACGGCUUACCAAGGCGACGAUGCGUAGCCGACCUGAGAGGGUGAUCGGCCACACUGGAACUGAGACACGGUCCAGACUCCUACGGGAGGCAGCAGUAGGGAAUCUUCCGCAAUGGGCGAAAGCCUGACGGAGCAACGCCGCGUGAGUGAUGAAGGUCUUCGGAUCGUAAAACUCUGUUAUUAGGGAAGAACAAAUGUGUAAGUAACUAUGCACGUCUUGACGGUACCUAAUCAGAAAGCCACGGCUAACUACGUG
rnacentral:rRNA from 1 species